AUUGAACGCUGGCGGCAGGCCUAACACAUGCAAGUCGAGCGAGCGGCGGACGGGUGAGUAAUGUAUGGGGACUGCCCGAUAGAGGGGGAUAACUACUGGAAACGGUUGCUAAUACCGCAUACUAUCGGAUAACCCAUAUGUGAUUGGCUAGUAGGUGGGGUAAAGGCUCACCUAGGCGACGAUCUCUAGCUGGACUGAGAGGAUGAUCAGCCACACUGGGACGUGUACACGUCCCAGACUCCUACGGAGGCAGCAGUGGGGAAUAUUGCACAAGUGGCGCAAGCCUGAUGCAGCCAUGCCGCGUGUAUGAAGAAGGCCUUAGGGUUGUAAAGUACUUUCAGCGGGGAUGCGUAACCCGCAGAAGAAGCACCGGCUAACUCCGUGCCAGCAGACGCGGUAAUAG
rnacentral:rRNA from 1 species